CAGCCGCCACGGUAAUACGAAGGGGGCUAGCGUUGUUCGGAAUUACUGGGCGUAGAGGGCGCGUGGGCGGCCAUUCAAGUUAGAUGUGAAAGCCCUGGGCUCAACCCCGGAACUGCCUUUGAAACUAGAUAGCUUGAAUCUUGGAGGGGCGAGUGGAAUUCCGAGUGUAGAGGUGAAAUUCGUAGAUAUUCGGAAGAACACCAGUGGCGAAGGCGACUCGCUGGACAAGUAUUGACGCUGAGGUGCGAAAGCGUGGGGAGCAAACAGGAUUAGAGACCCCCGUAGUCCCUGUCUCUUAUAA
rnacentral:rRNA from 1 species